UACGGAGGGUGCGAGCGUUAAUCGGAAUUAUUGGGCGUAAAGGGUGCGUAGGUAGGGGGAUAAGUUAUAUGUAAAAAUCCUGGGCUUAACCUGGGGCUGUCAUAUAAGACUGUUUUUCUAGAGUAGAGGAGAGGGUAGUGGAAUUUCCGGUGUAGCGGUGAAAUGCGUAGAUAUCGGAAGGAACACCGGUGGCGAAGGCGGCUACCUGCCUUUUACUGACACUGAGGCACGAAAGCGUGGGUAGCAAACAGG
rnacentral:rRNA from 1 species